rnacentral:rRNA from 1 species
UACGUAGGGUGCGAGCGUUGUCCGGAAUUAUUGGGCGUAAAGAGCUUGUAGGCGGUCUGUCGCGUCUGCUGUGAAAAUCCGGGGCUCAACCCCGGACUUGCAGUGGGUACGGGCAGACUAGAGUGUGGUAGGGGAGACUGAAUUCCUGGUGUAGCGGUGAAAUGCGCAGAUAUCAGGAGGAACACCGAUGGCGAAGGCAGGUCUCUGGGCCACUACUGACGCUGAGAAGCGAAAGCAUGGGGAGCGAACAGG